rnacentral:rRNA from 1 species
UACAGAGGUCUCAAGCGUUUGUUCGGAAUCACUGGGCGUAAAGGGUGCGUAGGCCGCACGGUAAGUCAGAGGUGAAAUCCCGGAGCUCAACUUCGGAAUUGCCUCCGAUACUGCCGUGCUUGAGGACUGGAGAGGAGAUUGGAAUUCACAGUGGAGCAGUGAAAUGCGUAGAUAUUGUGAGGAACACUAGUGGCGAAGGCGAAUCUCUGGACAGUUCCUGACGCUGAGGCACGAAGGCCAGGGGAGCAAACGGG